rnacentral:tRNA from 1 species
UCCUGGGUGGCUCAGUUGGUUGAGCAUCUGACUUCUACUCAGGUCAUAAUCUCCUACGGGUCCUGGGAU